CGGCGCACAGGGAACGUGCGUCCGUCGACUCGUUUUGACCGCGUCGGCAUCAUGGACAGUACGUUGAGCGCUAAAGCCACGCGCCAGCGGCCUCACGAGAGGGAGACGGUGGCAAACCGUUGUGCCAAUUCUUCGAAAAGACGGAAACGAGGCAWUACUACUGCAGCGUGACGAGUGCGCGCCUCUAGCAAGACCGCCGCAGGAUGGAGUCGGAUACCUGCAGGGAAAGAGCGGUCCAAGCACGAGGCGCGAACGUCUGUUGCCAUGUAGCGCGCACGUUUGCGAGAGAGUCGGAAGCGCACGCUUGCGUGCACGGAAAACGUGGGAAUGAAACGCCGGCCKAUUCCCGCGCCGUGCGCAAAGCCAGCGCGAUCGCAAUUUGCGC
rnacentral:misc_RNA from 1 species